AAGCAUGUCAGAAGGACACAUUUUGGUUAAUUACUUGUAUCUUUCCCAAGCUUCAUAGAGGGAUUCACCUUCCUUCUAUCUGAAGGUUUGGACCUUCACUCUAAGCUU